AUGAAUGCAUUUCACGUCCAUACAGCUGGCAUGUUCUGCUCAGCCAUGCUUCUGCUCACCCUCACCCUCCUGCCAAAAAUCUGGGAGCUGCGCAUCGCGUACCCCUUCUGGCUCAACGGCACACACCCGCCAGAGUGCGGCUACAGCGCUUUCCAUGUCAUGUGGAUAGAUGGCAGGGCCAACCUCGAGCCGUACCAGAUCUUCGACAUCUCCUACGAAGACAACUCAUUCCGGGUCAUCAAGCCCGACAUCUCCUACGGGGGCAUUUGUGACACCGAGCUCAACAUUAUGCCUCCUCCGACCUCGGCCUCACGCCCUUCCGCAUUAGUGCGACCAACCAGGAGCUAUUCUUCCUCAACAACUGCACCGAGCUCCGGUCACAGCCGCCACCACCUGCGUGGGCGCCUGUCAACUGCUCGGAUGGAUUCACCUUGCCGACGUCCAACUCGUUCACAUGGCUUGCCGGAGCGUACAAGCCCAACAACCAUUGGAGUCCGGUGCCAGGGGGCUGCAGGGUGUCCAUGAUGCCGGUGCUAGGGUACGAGGGCGCGUCCGGGGCGGACUACGGGCGGCUGAUGCAGAGCGGGUUUCUUCUGGAGUACAUGGUGGGUGACUGCAAGGCGUGCGAGGAGAGCGGAGGGCUUUGCCUGAUUAAUACCACCUACGAUAUCUUCGAGUGCCACCUGCAAAGGCCGCGUGUCUCCGUCCAACAUUUGCGGUCGCGAGAGGAGAGGGAAGAAGAUUAUGGUAAUAGGUAUGACAUCAGCAGCUGCAGCAUUUCUCUUUGCAUGUCUUUAUGUGCUGAUAUGGCAUAGAAAGGGGAAAAGAUCAUGGUUUCUCCUUUGCAAGAAGACUAGCAGCAACACUGAAAAGAAUUACGAGGCAAUGAUAGUGUCAUAUGGAUCCCUAGCUCCAACAAGAUACACGUACUCAGAGGUACUGAAGAUAACGUCUUCUCGCAACAAUCAGCUUGGGAAAGGUGGUUAUGGUGUGGUUUUCAAAGGAAGACUACAUGAUGGUCGUCUGGUGGCUGUGAAAUUCUUGCAUGACUGCAAAGGAAAUGGGGACGAGUUUGUGAAUGAGGUCAUGAGCAUUGGCAGGACCUCUCAUGUUAAUGUUGUUAGUUUAUUUGGGUUUUGUUUGGAGGGAUCAAAACGAGCUCUUAUAUAUGAGUACAUGCCCAACGGUUCCUUGGAUCAGUACAUUUAUUCAGAGCACCCCAAAGAAAUUUUAGGAUGGGAGAGGCUUUAUGCGAUAGCAAUCGGGAUUGCUCGUGGCCUCGAAUACUUGCACCAUAGCUGUAAUACACGUAUUGUCCAUUUCGAUAUCAAGCCCCAAAAUAUCCUUCUAGACAAAGAUUUUAGCCCAAAGAUUGCUGAUUUUGGUCUAGCUAAAUUGUGUCAUACAAAAGAGAGCAAUCUUUCAAUGACUGGAGCUAGAGGAACAAUUGGAUUUAUAGCCCCAGAAGUUCACUCUCGAACCUUCGGGGUGGUUUCAACAAAGUCGGAUGUUUAUAGUUACGGAAUGAUGCUGCUGGAGAUGGUUGGAGGUAGGAGAAACGUAAAAUCGAUUGUUGCAAAAUCCAGCGAAAAGUAUUUUCCAGAUUGGAUUUACGAUCACUUUGCACAAGAUGAUGGACUACAAGCAUGUGAAGUGACAAGAGAAAUUGAGGAGAUUGCGAGAAAGAUAACAUUCAUUGGCUUGUGGUGCAUACAAGUGUUACCUAUGUAUCGCCCUACUAUAACCAAAGUUCUAGAAAUGUUUGAGAGAAGCUUAGAUGAUCUGGACAUGCCGCCAAAGCAGAACUUCUGUGAACUACUUGAAAGUUCAGCUCACAAUAUGGAUGUACAAAAUUCAAGUUCUACCAGAUCUGAGGAGAUCAGCCUUGUGAAUUCAAAAAUCCUACAACAAUCGCCAACUCUUUGA
rnacentral:rRNA from 1 species